rnacentral:rRNA from 1 species
GAUGAACGCUGGCGGCGUGCCUAAUACAUGCAAGUCGAGCGGACGGACGAGAAGCUUGCUUCUCUGAUGUUAGCGGCGGACGGGUGAGUAACACGUGGAUAACCUACCUAUAAGACUGGGAUAACUUCGGGAAACCGGAGCUAAUACCGGAUAAUAUUUUGAACCGCAUGGUUCAAAAGUGAAAGACGGUCUUGCUGUCACUUAUAGAUGGAUCCGCGCUGCAUUAGCUAGUUGGUAAGGUAACGGCUUACCAAGGCAACGAUGCAUAGCCGACCUGAGAGGGUGAUCGGCCACACUGGAACUGAGACACGGUCCAGACUCCUACGGGAGGCAGCAGUAGGGAAUCUUCCGCAAUGGGCGAAAGCCUGACGGAGCAACGCCGCGUGAGUGAUGAAGGUCUUCGGAUCGUAAAACUCUGUUAUUAGGGAAGAACAUAUGUGUAAGUAACUGUGCACAUCCUGACGGUACCUAAUCAGAAAGCCACGGCUAACUACGUG